UGACUGAGCGGCGGACGGGUGAGUAACGCGUGGGUAACCUGCCUCAUACAGGGAGAAUAACAGUUAGAAAUGGCUGCUAAUGCCGCAUAAGCGCACAGGGCCGCAUGGUCUGGUGUGAAAAACUCCGGUGGUAUGAGAUGGACCCGCGUCUGAUUAGGUAGUUGGCGGGGUAACGGCCCACCAAGCCGACGAUCAGUAGCCGACCUGAGAGGGUGACCGGCCACAUUGGGACUGAGACACGGCCCAGACUCCUACGGGAGGCAGCAGUGGGGAAUAUUGCACAAUGGAGGAAACUCUGAUGCAGCGACGCCGCGUGAAGGAAGAAGUAUCUCGGUAUGUAAACUUCUAUCAGCAGGGAAGAAAAUGACGGUACCUGACUAAGAAGCCCCGGCUAACUACGUGCCAGCAGCCGCGGUAAUACGUAGGGGGCAAGCGUUUAUCCGGAUUUAUCUGGGUGUAACAGGGAGCGUAGACGGACGGGCAAGUCUGAUGUGAAAGCCCGGGGCUUAAUCCCCGGGACUGCAUUGGAAACUGUCCAUCUUGAGUGCCGGAGAGGUAAGCGGAAUUCCUAGUGUAGGCGGUGAAAUGCGUAGAUAUUAGGAG
rnacentral:rRNA from 1 species